AAAGACAGGCUAGGAGGCGGGGUCUGCCUGGUCUCCAUGGUAAUCCCUGGUGUUUUGUGAUCAAUGAAGAGCUUUCCUGUAACACCGGCAGUGCCAGGCCCAGCUCUAUGAACCGGUGAUGCCCACCAGCAAGCCCAAUGACUACCUUUUGCUGUCCAUCUUGGGCCUCUUUUGUUGCUUCCCGCUAGCUAUCCCAGCAUUGAUCUUUUCUGUUGAGACAAGGACCCACAACAGAACAAAUGACUAUAACAUGGCAACAAAGACCUCCAAACAAGCCUUCUUCUGGGCCAUCUUGAGCAUUGUCGUGGGACUCUCAAGCCCUUUCUUAGUUUUCUUCCUGCUGCACUUAACUAAGUUGUAACCUCCUUCCUAGCUCACGAACAAACCACCAAAUAUACACAAGAGUACAAUCGA